rnacentral:rRNA from 1 species
GGGGAAUAUUGGACAGUGGGGGCAACCCUGAUCCGCCCAUGCCGCGUGUGUGAAGAAGGCCUUUUGGUUGUAAAGCACUUUAAGCAGUGAAGAAGACUCCAUGGUUAAUACCCAUGGACGAUGACAUUAGCUGCAGAAUAAGCACCGGCUAACUCUGUGCCAGCAGCCGCGGUAAUACAGAGGGUGCAAGCGUUAAUCGGAAUUACUGGGCGUAAAGCGAGCGUAGGUGGCUUGAUAAGUCAGAUGUGAAAGCCCCGGGCUUAACCUGGGAACGGCAUCUGAUACUGUUAGGCUAGAGUAGGUGAGAGGAAGGUAGAAUUCCAGGUGUAGCGGUGAAAUGCGUAGAGAUCUGGAGGAAUACCGAUGGCGAAGGCAGCCUUCUGGCAUCAUACUGACACUGAGGUUCGAGAGCGUGGGUAGCAAACAGGAUUAGAUACCCUGGUAGUCCACGCCGUAAACGAUGUCUACUAGUCGUUGGGUCCCUUGAGGACUUAGUGACGCAGCUAACGCAAUAAGUAGACCGCCUGGGGAGUACGGCCGCAAGGUUAAAACUCAAAUGAAUUGACGGGGGCCCGCACAAGCGGUGGAGCAUGUGGUUUAA